UUGCUCCUGGAUUCAGCGGCGGACGGGUGAGUAAUGCCUAGGAAUCUGCCUGGUAGUGGGGGACAACGUUUCGAAAGGAACGCUAAUACCGCAUACGUCCUACGGGAGAAAGCAGGGGACCUUCGGGCCUUGCGCUAUCAGAUGAGCCUAGGUCGGAUUAGCUAGUUGGUGAGGUAAUGGCUCACCAAGGCGACGAUCCGUAACUGGUCUGAGAGGAUGAUCAGUCACACUGGAACUGAGACACGGUCCAGACUCCUACGGGAGGCAGCAGUGGGGAAUAUUGGACAAUGGGCGAAAGCCUGAUCCAGCCAUGCCGCGUGUGUGAAGAAGGUCUUCGGAUUGUAAAGCACUUUAAGUUGGGAGGAAGGGCAGUAAAUUAAUACUUUGCUGUUUUGACGUUACCGACAGAAUAAGCACCGGCUAACUCUGUGCCAGCAGCCGCGGUAAUACAGAGGGUGCAAGCGUUAAUCGGAAUUACUGGGCGUAAAGCGCGCGUAGGUGGUUUGUUAAGUUGGAUGUGAAAUCCCCGGGCUCAACCUGGGAACUGCAUCCAAAACUG
rnacentral:rRNA from 1 species